rnacentral:rRNA from 1 species
AAGUCGUAACAAGGUUUCC